rnacentral:rRNA from 1 species
AUGGGCAUGUCUUUUGGAAGCUGCAAGCUACCGGAUGAGCAAUACUACAAGCAUUUGGAUGAUGAAAAGAAGUAUUUCUUGGUUGUUAUGUUGGGUGAUUUCCAAGAUUCGAUGAUAAUCCCAGAAGAAGUUGUGCGGCGUUUGAAAGGUGAGAUCCCAGGAGAGAUCAAGCUAGAAACCCGAAAUGGUUACAGUCAUACUAUUGUGGUUGCCAAGAACCAAGAAAAGCUUGUCCUUACAGUGGCUUGGCGGCAAUUCAUCGAAAACUAUGAUCUACAGAUUGGUGAUUCCUUAAUGUUCAGAUACAAAGGGACCUCUCAGUUUAAUGUCAUGAUCUUUGAUAAGCUUGGUCGUGAAAAAGCAUUAUCGGUUGUUCUCGAUCCUUUUUUGCAUGGGGUCCAAGACAGACACAACGAGGCACAUGAAAUGGGGUCUUCUAAAAAGAUGGAUGUGCCUUGGGAAAGAUGCAAAGUCGGACUGAAUAUCACUACACAAACUUGGAUGAUGAGAAGAAAUAUUUCUUGGUGCAUAUGA